CCGAGUCUCCGACUCUAAACCAUCGCGAACAUACUACGUCGUUGCCUCGGCGGGCGGCUCUAAAACGGAGCCUAUAGCCUUUGUUAAAAAGGUACCCGCUAAAAAGCCCGCUAAACUAUGUCGUAUCUUGUUACUAUAAGUACCCGCGAGAGCGGAAAGUCA
rnacentral:misc_RNA from 1 species